rnacentral:miRNA from 1 species
CAGAAGAGAGAGAGCACAAU